ACAGCCCCAGUUUUAGAGCUUCUCCCUGAAAGUUUGCUCAUUUCUCAUCUCUGGUGACAGAGGUAGAUCCAGCUGUUCCCGAGGAAGGAAAUCCAAACCUGCUGCAGCCGCUGUAGGUGGGAUCUGCUGCUUUGUGCUGGCUUCUGGGGCUCUCCCCUUGCCACCGGCUAGAUGCAGUUCAGCUCCUUCGGCAGCAGCGGUGCUUCCAGGCUGGUGCAGUUCCAUUAAACCACAGUUCAUCCAACCCCUGGGAGCACUUCUGCAGGUGCUGGGGCUCGGGGCAGGUGAGUGCAUGGGGUGCUGUGACCUCGCUUGUGGGAACGGCAGCGUGUGCUCAUUAAUGAGCCUGCUCAUGAGCAUCAGAUCUGAAAUGUGAAGCGACUCAAACAUGUUUCAUUUCUCUUCAGUGCUGGCAGGCUCAUACGGCUGCUGCGGGACUUGUUGGAGCGGUUUGUAGGGCUUCUCGUGUUCCUGCUACUGCAAGAAGUGAGCGCAAACCGGUGAGGCUGCUCCGAAGGGAAGGUUACAGCUCUGCUUCUUGGAAGGUGAAGCACUGAAGCAGGGAUUACCUGAACUAGCAGAGCCGAUGCUGCAGGUCAGCGCCACGAGAGCUCAGCCUCCCUCGUACCUCAUGGAGCAGCUCUGCAGAUCAGAAAGACUUUCCCCAACCUUGUGUGUCACGGUGCCCUGGGUGCCUUCUACCCCAUGGGAAACAACAAACAUGCAAAGGUCAUCCAGCUCUAGGGCAGCUCAGCUUGGACUGCUGGGCAUUGCUGGUUAUUGGAUUACUUGGAUUGCUGCUUAUCUCUGAAAUAUUUGUGGAAAUCUUACAACGAAUUUGUCCGGUUGUCAUCCAAAACAUCAGUCUGCCCUCAUCCAGCAACAGCAAAGGUCUGACCUGGGGUGUGAGCCCCAGGCUGAUUGCAUGAGCUCUGUAGUCUCCAGAGUUACUUAACACCUUUUUAAACCACUCUAUUUUAUCUUGUUUGUUUAGCUGCUCAACAGGAAGCUAGUUUGGGCUCUGGUGCAAUCUCCUAAUGUGCAGCCUUUGAAGAUGUGACUUUAAUGACAUUGACAUGUGUCAGGUGGGUUUAACACAACUUCUCUAAAUAGCUACUGCAUCAGAAAUAGCUGGGGCUCUUAGCAGCCACACUGCCUCAUACUCAGCUGCUGCUGUACAAAGUCAUGAAUGGCCUUCUGCAUUCUGAGUUAAAUGGGACUUUUUUCUGUAAUUAAAUGAAAUUCUGCUGGCAACUGAGUUUAGAAAAAUCAUAAGCUUUAUUCUUCAGACUAGAAUCACUUAAUGCUUAGACCUUGUUGUUGAUUUAAAGUUGAGAUUUAUUACAGUAACCUGAUACUUGGCUUCACUGUAUGUUCACUAAUAUACAAAUGCACAAAGUUUACACUUCACUGAAAAUUCUGAAUCUUGUCCUCUUUAUUUGUUAUGAGCAGAAGUACCUGGGUCCUG
rnacentral:lncRNA from 1 species